CGCUUUCGGGUGUCGCUGAUGGAUGGACCCGCGGUGCAUUAGCUAGUUGGUGAGGUAACGGCUCACCAAGGCCACGAUGCAUAGCCGACCUGAGAGGGUGAUCGGCCACAUUGGGACUGAGACACGGCCCAAACUCCUACGGGAGGCAGCAGUAGGGAAUCUUCGGCAAUGGACGAAAGUCUGACCGAGCAACGCCGCGUGAGUGAAGAAGGUUUUCGGAUCGUAAAACUCUGUUGUUAGAGAAGAACAAGGAUGAGAGUAACUGUUCAUCCCUUGACGGUAUCUAACCAGAAAGCCACGGCUAACUACGUGCCAGCAGCCGCGGUAAUACGUAGGUGGCAAGCGUUGUCCGGAUUUAUUGGGCGUAAAGCGAGCGCAGGCGGUUUCUUAAGUCUGAUGUGAAAGCCCCCGGCUCAACCGGGGAGGGUCAUUGGAAACUGGGAGACUUGAGUGCAGAAGAGGAGAGUGGAAUUCCAUGUGUAGCGGUGAAAUGCGUAGAUAUAUGGAGGAACACCAGUGGCGAAGGCGGCUCUCUGGUCUGUAACUGACGCUGAGGCUCGAAAGCGUGGGGAGCAAACAGGAUUAGAUACCCUGGUAGUCCACGCCGUAAACGAUGAGUGCUAAGUGUUGGAGGGUUUCCGCCCUUCAGUGCUGCAGCUAACGCAUUAAGCACUCCGCCUGGGGAGUACGACCGCAAGGUUGAAACUCAAAGGAAUUGACGGGGGCCCGCACAAGCGGUGGAGCAUGUGGUUUAAUUCGAAGCAACGCGAAGAACCUUACCAGGUCUUGACAUCCUUUGACCACUCUAGAGAUAGAGCUUCCCCUUCGGGGGCAAAGUGACAGGUGGUGCAUGGUUGUCGUCAGCUCGUGUCGUGAGAUGUUGGGUUAAGUCCCGCAACGAGCGCAACCCUUAUUGUUAGUUGCCAUCAUUCAGUUGGGCACUCUAGCAAGACUGCCGGUGACAAACCGGAGGAAGGUGGGGAUGACGUCAAAUCAUCAUGCCCCUUAUGACCUGGGCUACACACGUGCU
rnacentral:rRNA from 1 species